CAGUAGCCGCGGGAAUACGUAGGUCCCGAGCGUUGUCCGGAUUUAUUGGGCGUAAAGCGAGCGCAGGCGGUUAGAUAAGUCUGAAGUUAAAGGCUGUGGCUUAACCAUAGUACGCUUUGGAAACUGUUUAACUUGAGUGCAGAAGGGGAGAGUGGAAUUCCAUGUGUAGCGGUGAAAUGCGUAGAUAUAUGGAGGAACACCGGUGGCGAAAGCGGCUCUCUGGUCUGUAACUGACGCUGAGGCUCGAAAGCGUGGGGAGCAAACAGGAUUAGAUACCCGAGUAGUCCCUGUCUCUUAUCCC
rnacentral:rRNA from 1 species